AAGUCAUAACAAGGUUUCCGUAGGUGAACCUGCGGAAGGAUCAUUAUUGAACCUGGGAUCUCCAGCCUCACAAGGCUUGGUAGAUCCUUAACCAUACACAUCGUGAAUUGUGGCUUCGGCCGUUUUUACAACUUUUGUCAUGAAUGUCAAACCAAAAAACAAAAUAAAACUUUCAACAACGGAUCUCUAGGCUCUCGCAUCGAUGAAGAACGCAGCGAAAUGCGAUAAGUAAUGUGAAUUGCAGAAUUCAGUGAAUCAUCGAAUCUUUGAACGCACCUUGCGCCCUUUGGUAUUCCAAAGGGCAUGCCUGUUUGAGUGUCAUGAAAACUCAUCCUCCUUGGGGUCUCCCCAACUGGAGUGAUGGAUUGGGUGUCUGCCGAUAAUCAUCGGCUCACCUUAAAAGUGUCAGUGGUCAACUUGGAUGUAAUACGUUUCGUCCUGUUUCUGCUCAUAACAUCAAUUCUUUCAAUCUGACCUCAAAUCAGGUAGGGCUACCCGCUGAACUUAAGCAUAUCAAUAAGCGGAGGACAAGAAACUAACAAGGAUUCCCCUAGUAACGGCGAGUGAACCGGGAAGAGCUCAAAUUUGUAAUCUGGCGUCUUUUGGGCGUCCGAGUUGUAAUCUAUAGAGGUGUUUUCCGCGCCGGAAUGCGUCCAAGUCCCUUGGAACAGGGUAUCAAAGAGGGUGAUAAUCCCGUACUUGACGCAACAACCGGUGCUAUGUGAUACACUCUCAACGAGUCGAGUUGUUUGGGAAUGCAGCUCUAAAUGGGUGGUAAAUUCCAUCUAAGGCUAAAUAUUGGCGAGAGACCGAUAGCGAACAAGUACCGUGAGGGAAAGAUGAAAAGCACUUUGGAAAGAGAGUUAAACAGUACGUGAAAUUGUUGAAAGGGAAACGAUUGAAGUCAGUCGUGUGGGAGGUAUUCAGCCGUUUUUGACGGUGUACUUGCCUCUCACGGGUCAACAUCAGUUUGGAUCGGCAGAAAAAGUCGAUAGGAAGGUGGCAUGCUUGCAUGUGUUAUAGCCUUUUGAUGCAUCUAUCGGUCUGGACUGAGGAACGCAGCUUGCAGCAAUGCCGGGGUUCGCCCACGUACAAGCUUAGGAUGUUGACAUAAUGGCUUUAAACGACC
rnacentral:rRNA from 1 species